rnacentral:rRNA from 1 species
UACAGAGGGGGCAAGCGUUGUUCGGAAUUACUGGGCGUAAAGGGCGCGUAGGCGGCCUUCUAAGUCGAACGUGAAAUCCCCGGGCUCAACCCCGGGAACUGCGUCCGAUACUGGAAGGCUUGAAUCCGGGAGAGGUGAGUGGAACUCCGAGUGUAGAGGUGAAAUUCGUAGAUAUUCGGAAGAACACCAGUGGCGAAGGCGGCUCACUGGCCCGGUACUGGACGCUGAGGUGCGAAAGCGUGGGGAGCAA